rnacentral:miRNA from 1 species
GGCGGGUCUGGGCACGC